rnacentral:rRNA from 1 species
AGAGUUUGAUCAUGGCUCAGGAUGAACGCUGGCGGCGUGCCUAACACAUGCAAGUCGAGCGAUCUUCUUCGGAAGAGAGCGGCGGACGGGUGAGUAACGCGUGGGUAACCUGCCCUGUACACACGGAUAACAUACCGAAAGGUAUGCUAAUACGAGAUAAUAUGCUUUUAUCGCAUGGUAGAAGUAUCAAAGCUCCGGCGGUACAGGAUGGACCCGCGUCUGAUUAGCUAGUUGGUGAGGUAACGGCUCACCAAGGCGACGAUCAGUAGCCGACCUGAGAGGGUGAUCGGCCACAUUGGAACUGAGACACGGUCCAAACUCCUACGGGAGGCAGCAGUGGGGAAUAUUGCACAAUGGGCGAAAGCCUGAUGCAGCAACGCCGCGUGAGCGAUGAAGGCCUUCGGGUCGUAAAGCUCUGUCCUCAAGGAAGAUAAUGACGGUACUUGAGGAGGAAGCCCCGGCUAACUACGUGCCAGCAGCCGCGGUAAU